GCUUACGAUCGACACUAUUUCCUCGCGAGUCGCGCGUCGUUCGUUCCUCCGUCGCGAACGGCCCACGCGUACGCUCUCGCGGAACGGAGACAGAGGGACGAGCGAGCUUGUCUCGCGCGAUGCACGCGAUAGCGCGAGCGCAUGCGUUUCACGCGUCUCGUCUGCGCGUCAACCGGCCCCAGCGUAACGUCACGGUCUAUUCCUUCGAUCGUUUCGACGACGGGGUGGAAAUGAAUCUUUAACGUCACACAAGCAUGGGGGGAGGGGAGAGAUGUCGGACAUUACUCCAAUCGCGAUCGGUUCAACGCUUUAUAUCAUCGAAUUACUGAAAGGUUGGGAAUUAAUAAUGUAUAGUGAACCCUGUUGUACAAAUGAAAUAUGACUUGGAUAAAAUCACUCACGAAGUACUAGUACGUUAUCUAGUAUGUCUAUUCACUGUGUCAUAUAUAUAUAAAAAGCAGAUGUACAAGCGGAUAUGCAAAAGGAAGCUACGCAUAUACGAAUAAGAUACUCAGAAUUUACAAAACGAUACCGAUGAAAUAAAAAAAGUAGAAUGAAUAAUUGAAACGUCGCGUUACUGUGUGGUCCGAUCGAUUUGUUGCCGAUGAUUCAUAAUAUCAUUGCGCGAUCGCGGACUACCCGCGAAUCACUCUUCAAUCACUGUGGUCUAGUAGAAAAAUUUUGAUCGAUUCUAAGGGAAUCUACUUUAUCGACCAACAGAUUGUACCUUCUUGAAGUACAUUUUAUGUAACCAAUAUGAGCUAGUUUCAAUAUAGAUCGUAUUAUAUUUUACAAGUAACUUAUAGAAAAGGUAGACCAUAAAUCUCAUGAACGAUUUACAAUACUGGUCACGCAAGCAAUUAGCCACGAACAGCGUGGGUCACCUAUAGUCGAUUCGUUGCAGGAGGCGUGGGUCACUUAAGCGAUUGAUUACAGUUACGUGGUUAACUUAAUAGAUUUCUCACGCUAUCGUAAGUCAUUUCACCAAUUUUCCGUCAAAAAAAUUAUUAGUAAACAGAAACAAAAUUUCGUAUCAGGAAGAGUAUGUCACCAUAGUGAUCUUUCGCAUGAUAUUAUGAGUCAGAGUAGGUCAUGGUCGUGGUAUAAUAAUGCUAAAUCAAUAAUAAAAUGCUAAAAUUUCUUAAAUCGUCCAAAUCGGUCCUAAAACGGGACCAUUACAUGAAAUGUAUAACACGCAUCGACUAGCUUGACCUGAUUUUUCAGAUGUUACGAAAUCAUGGUUAUCGAUAUCCUGUCUGUCGUUUAUCUUCGUCUGUGUGGGAUGUAUAUCCGUAGAGAUUCGUACGAGUGUGAAUAAUUCACACACUUACUUGUUACUUGUUAGUGGAACAGUAGGGUGAGAGACUAUGCAUUUUAUCACUUACGCUCCUAAUCUAUUUUCUUAAUUCUUUGCAUUGAUAUGAGGCGAUUAUGAAACGCGUAAGAUUGCGACGCAUACAAGAGGAGACGAUUGGACACAUGAAAGUGCUUCGAUACAACAUACAAGGGACUUUUGUUCAAACACGUUUUACCUUACAUUAAAAUGGUUUCAGCAAUAACGGAUCAUUGUAGUUCUUCAAUUAAGUUUUUUCCAAUUUACAUUUGUACGGUUUAAUAGGUUUAAGAAUAUACAAAAUGAAUCGCGAACGUUUAUGUCGCUAUUUGAGUCACGUCGAAUUUCUAGAACGGCCACGGAGACAGUGGCGCUAUUUCGAACGUUAUUACGCACUACGGAUUCACGCGCAUGGUAGUAUCAGCGGAGAAGUAUUUUUCAUGCUGCCUGGCUGCUUUCAAACAUUGCUUCUUAACCUCCCAUUUACUUGCUCUAUUCGGAUGGUUCUUUUCAUCGGCAAAGGCAAGGACAGAGGAAAUACGCAGCAGGUGCAUCGGCUCUUGCUUAGUCCUCGAUAAACAAGGACUUUUGAACAAACAGAAAUAUCCCACGCAGGUGUGACGAUAAAAAUGACCUAGCGACUAUUUGCUAUUUUUUAAAAUUAACUUCUUUGUCGUAGAAUAUAUAUUUUUAUCAUAAUUUCUCAUUAAGUAUUAAGAUUUAUUUGGACCGACGAUAGAUCAAGCACUUACUGGCGACUCGUUGAGCAUUUAUUGUUAAGACAAGUAGUGUCCAAAAGUAGUGGACAAAUUUGUGACCCAAAUAUUCAAACAUUAUUGUACGUUGACAAAGUUCAGUCUUCAUCCAACAAUCGUACUGUACGAGCAUCAUAUUCGCAGAACGUGAUAAGUGUAUCAAAACAUAUACCAUUGCGUGACGAAGAAAGUGAAUGAGACACAUGAAGACCAACUGAUUAGGGCACUAACAAACGAUGCAAUGAAAAGAUCGAAUGUUUAGUCUGAGACUCUAUAUAUAUAUGACUAUAGUAUGAUACGUACUAUGUUUAUGAAUUAUUAAGGUUCAUUUGUUGUAUCAUAUAAUGUAUACGUAUAAUCGAUGACAAAAUCAUCUAAUAUUAGGCAUUCAACAUAUCUUAUGUUAAAUUAUGUAUCGAAUAAAAAAGAGAACAUAAUUCGAAAUUUAUUUUUAACAAUGAUGAUGUGAUUUGAAAGCAAACCAAAACAUACAGUAAACAAUUAUAUUCUGAACAUUAAAUAUGA